rnacentral:rRNA from 1 species
CAGGACGAACGCUGGCGGCGUGCCUUAGACAUGCAAGUCGAGCGAGAACUUCGGUUCUAGCGGCAAACGGCGCAGUAAUACGUAAGCAACGUGCCCCUAAGACUGGGAUAGUCCGAGGAAACUCGGUUUAAUACCAGAUGUGGCCCUCUCAUCGCCUGAUGAGAGGAUUAAAGGACUUCGGUCGCUUAGGGAGCGGCUUACGACCUAUCAGGUCGUUGGUGGGGUAACGGCUCACCAAGCCUACGACGGGUAGCGGGUCUGAGAGGAUGAUCCGCGCGAGUGGGACUGAGACACGGCCCACACACCUACGGGUGGCAGCAGUUUGGAAUAUUGCACAAUGGGGGAAACCCUGAUGCAGCGACGCCGCGUGGGGGAUGAAGGAUUUCGGUCUGUAAACCCCUUUUGCCAGGAAAGACUUAGGACGGUACCUGGCGGAUAAGCCCCGGCUAACUACGUGCCAGCAGCCGCGGUAAUACGUAGGGGGCAAGCGUUGUCCGGAUUUACUGGGCGUAAAGGGCGCGCAGGCGGCCUGUUAAGUGUGAAGUGAAAUCUCAUGGCUCAACCAUGAAAUUGCUUUGCAUACUGGCAGGCUAGAGAAAGGCAGAGGUAGAUGGAAUUCCCGGUGUAGCGGUGACAUGCGUUGAUAUCGGGAGGAACACCAAUGGCGAAGGCAGUCUACUGGGCCUCUUCUGACGCUCAGGCGCGAAAGCGUGGGUAGCAAACAGGAUUAGAUACCCUGGUAGUCCACGCCCUAAACGAUGGAUACUAGGCGUUAGGGGUAUCGACCCCCUUAGUGCCGCAGCAAACGCGAUAAGUAUCC